CUCGCGGUGCUCCCCCAACAGAGGUGUUGGUGGUUCGAUAUGGUGGAGAGAGGCUGCGAGAGUAAAGUUGUGUGGACCUACUUGCUGGAGGAGGAACCCGGGGUGAAGGGCAGUGCUGCAUUUCGCUUCACGGCUGGUUCAUAAUUCCCAUUGGCGGUUCUACUUGCGUCAGCGGGAAGACUACUGUCGUUCUUUCUCUCUUUGCGUGUGUGUAGUGAGGGGAAGGGAAAAGCGGAGGAAGAGUGAUGGGCUCGCGCACAGACAAUCUAACGUGAUUUCCGCCUCUUUUGUCCUCUUCCCGACUGGAUACUCGCGGCAAAUCCCUGACUUCGUUUGCUUUUUAGUGCUUCUUCGUCCGUUUCUUUCCUUUGUGCCGUGUCUUGCCCUUUCCUUUUAUAGCUCCUUCGCUGUGCUUCUUUAUAUCUAGCGUGAUCUCUCUUCUUUCCCUUUGUUCUCGGACGAGUUGAAACGUUUUGUGCGCCGUUCAUUCUGUUCGUUUCCAUCUCGAUUGCGCGUCUUGGUGGGCUUGUGCGUUCGCGUGUGUGCGCUUGUGCAGGCGCGUGCUAUGGAUGAAGAUACCAGAGAAUACUGUCCUUCAAAGAUAAAGGAGGAAAACAACAAAGGAAACAAAGAAAAUGAGAAAGCGAUGAUGCAUAGUUAUCAAAUGGCCCGUGCCACCGGAUGAUUCUUCCGUUCUUUUUUUACCUAGUUUGUACCUUUCUCGAAUGAGAUGGAGACAUGAGCGAAACUGACGUUUUCCUCAAGGCGGAUUCACGGAGGCGAUGCAAC
rnacentral:misc_RNA from 1 species